rnacentral:rRNA from 1 species
CAGGCUUAACACAUGCAAGUCGAGGGGCAGCAUGGUCUUAGCUUGCUAAGGCCGAUGGCGACCGGCGCACGGGUGAGUAACACGUAUCCAACCUGCCGUCUACUCUUGGACAGCCUUCUGAAAGGAAGAUUAAUACAAGAUGGCAUCAUGAGUCCGCAUGUUCACAUGAUUAAAGGUAUUCCGGUAGACGAUGGGGAUGCGUUCCAUUAGAUAGUAGGCGGGGUAACGGCCCACCUAGUCUUCGAUGGAUAGGGGUUCUGAGAGGAAGGUCCCCCACAUUGGAACUGAGACACGGUCCAAACUCCUACGGGAGGCAGCAGUGAGGAAUAUUGGUCAAUGGGCGAGAGCCUGAACCAGCCAAGUAGCGUGAAGGAUGACUGCCCUAUGGGUUGUAAACUUCUUUUAUAAAGGAAUAAAGUCGGGUAUGCAUACCCGUUUGCAUGUACUUUAUGAAUAAGGAUCGGCUAACUCCGUGCCAGCAGCCGCGGUAAUACGGAGGAUCCGAGCGUUAUCCGGAUUUAUUGGGUUUAAAGGGAGCGUAGAUGGAUGUUUAAGUCAGUUGUGAAAGUUUGCGGCUCAACCGUAAAAUUGCAGUUGAUACUGGAUAUCUUGAGUGCAGUUGAGGCAGGCGGAAUUCGUGGUGUAGCGGUGAAAUGCUUAGAUAUCACGAAGAACUCCGAUUGCGAAGGCAGCCUGCUAAGCUGCAACUGACAUUGAGGCUCGAAAGUGUGGGUAUCAAACAGGAUUAGAUACCCUGGUAGUCCACACGGUAAACGAUGAAUACUCGCUGUUUGCGAUAUACGGCAAGCGGCCAAGCGAAAGCGUUAAGUAUUCCACCUGGGGAGUACGCCGGCAACGGUGAAACUCAAAGGAAUUGACGGGGGCCCGCACAAGCGGAGGAACAUGUGGUUUAAUUCGAUGAUACGCGAGGAACCUUACCCGGGCUUAAAUUGCAGAUGAAUUACGGUGAAAGCCGUAAGCCGCAAGGCAUCUGUGAAGGUGCUGCAUGGUUGUCGUCAGCUCGUGCCGUGAGGUGUCGGCUUAAGUGCCAUAACGAGCGCAACCCUUGUUGUCAGUUACUAACAGGUUCCGCUGAGGACUCUGACAAGACUGCCAUCGUAAGAUGUGAGGAAGGUGGGGAUGACGUCAAAUCAGCACGGCCCUUACGUCCGGGGCUACACACGUGUUACAAUGGGGGGUACAGAGGGCCGCUACCACGCGAGUGGAUGCCAAUCCCCAAAACCUCUCUCAGUUCGGACUGGAGUCUGCAACCCGACUCCACGAAGCUGGAUUCGCUAGUAAUCGCGCAUCAGCCACGGCGCGGUGAAUACGUUCCCGGGCCUUGUACACACCGCCCGUCAAGCCAUGGGAGCCGGGGGUACCUGAAGUGCGUAACCGCGAGGAGCGCCCUAGGGUAAAACUGGUGACUGGGGCUAAG